UACGGAGGCCCCAAGCGUUGUUCGGAUUUACUGGGCGUAAAGCGUGCGUAGGCGGCGAGAUAAGUUUGGCGUGAAAGCCUCGGGCCCAACCCGGGAAAUGCGCUGAAAACUAUCUCACUAGAGGAUUGGAGGGGAGACUGGAAUUCCUGGUGUAGCAGUGAAAUGCGUAGAUAUCAGGAGGAACACCAGUGGCGAAGGCGAGUCUCUGGACAAUUCCUGACGCUGAGGUACGAAGGCUAGGGUAGCGAAG
rnacentral:rRNA from 1 species